UGCAUUGGAUUGAGAACAACGUAAAACUCUUAUCGAUAAGCCAUUGGAGGGCAAGUCUGGUGCCAGCAGCCGCGGUAAUUCCAGCUCCAAUAGCGUAUAUUAACGUUGUUGCAGUUAAAAAGCUCGUAGUUGAAGUGAGGGAGUGUGUGUUGUGAUCGAAUCGAUCGAGAGCAGUACAAGCUCCCCCUUCCAAUGGGUGUAUUGGGGUAUUCAUUUACUUCAUUACUCCUUUGGUCGUUUACUGUGAGAAAAUUAGAGUGUUCAAAGCGGGCGUUUGUUUGAAUAGAUUAGCAUGGAAUAAUGAUUGAAGGCUUUCGUGUUCGAUUUGAUUGGUUUGUUCAUGGAAGCAAGGUUAAAAGGAACAGUUGGGGGUAUUCAUAUUCACUAGUUAGAGGUGAAAUUCUCGGAUUUAUGGAAGAUGAACAAGUGCGAAAG
rnacentral:rRNA from 1 species